rnacentral:rRNA from 1 species
UACAGAGGUCCCGAGCGUUGUUCGGAUUCACUAGGCGUAAAGGGUGCGUAGGUGGCAUGGUAAGUUUGAUGUGAAAGCUCAGGGCUUAACCCUGAAAUGGCAUUGAAUACUACUGUGCUGGAGGUUUGGAGGGGGGACUGGAAUUCUUGGUGUAGCAGUGAAAUGCGUAGAUAUCAAGAGGAACACCAGUGGCGAAGGCGAGUCCCUGGACAACACCUGACACUGAGGCACGAAAGCUAGGGGAGCAAACAGG